UACCCUUGGCAAUAGACAAAGAAACACUUUUUGCUGUUGUUCUUAUGUCAGUCAGAGGCAGAGCAGAUGGUGGGCCUUUGUUCAUCCUGUCUUGAUGCCUGGCUUGGUGGCCAAAGCUGUCUCAUGCCUAGGACUCAUAA